rnacentral:rRNA from 1 species
UACGGAGGAUCCGAGCGUUAUCCGGAUUUAUUGGGCUUAAAGGGCGCGUAGGCGGACUGUUAAGUCAGCUGUGAAAGUUUACGGCUCAACCGUGAAAUUGCAGUUGAUACUGUUAGUCUUGAGUCUAGAAGAGGUGGGCGGAAUUUGUGGUGUAGCGGUGAAAUGCUUAGAUAUCUGAAGGAACUCCAGUUGCGAAGGCAGCUCACUGGGCUAUAACUGACGCUGAUGCGCGAAAGUGUGGGUAUCAAACAGG